UAAGAUUAACUGUAAAGCCACAAGAGCUA
rnacentral:sRNA from 1 species